AACGAACGCUGGCGGUAUGCCUAACACAUGCAAGUCGCACGAGAAAGUACUUCGGUAUGAGUAGAGUGGCGCACGGGUGAGUAACACGUAGGUGACCUUCCGAAUAGUGGGGGAUAACUCGGAGAAAUCCGGGCUAAUACCGCAUAUGUACGACAAAUCUGAGAGUAGUCGUAGAAAGAAUGCCUCUACUUGUAAGCAUUCGCUAAUCGAUGGGCCUGCGGAGCAUUAGCUUGUUGGUGGGGUAAGUGGCCUACCAAGGCUACGAUGCUUAACGGAUCUGAGAGGAUGAUCCGUCACACUGGAACUGAGACACGGUCCAGGACUCCUACGGGAGGCAGCAGUGGGGAAUAUUGCGCAAUGGACGCAAGUCUGACGCAGCAAUACCGCGUGAGUGAGGAAGGCCU
rnacentral:rRNA from 1 species